AGGAGAGAGGAUCCUGCGCUGCCAGCGCUGCGAGGCGGCAGCAGCAGCGCCGUGCGCCGGGCCGGGCCGGGAUGGGCGGCCCUGCUCCGCCGCCGCCGCGCUCAUCGCCCUCGCCCCCGGCCCCGCGGGGUCAGCCCGGGCUCCGCUGGCCGGGGAUCAGCCUCCGGGUCUGAUCCGGGAUCCCUCACCGGGAUCCAGCUGCCCUCCCUCCCCUUCCCCCCUCUCCGCUGCUGGCUCUGUGCCUGCUGGCCCAGCGGGCUAGUGGCAGGGCCCGGGGCCCCCCCCCCCCCCCCCCCCCCCCCCCCCCCCCCCCCCCCCCCCCCCCCCCCCCCCCCCCCCCCCCCCCCCCCCCCCCCAGCCCCGGGAGCACUGAGGCAGCCGUUUGACAGCCAGGGCACCCUGCAGGAACGAGCUGCCCCUGGCGCUUCAGGUGGUCAGGCAGGGAAUGCCCAGAACCGGCAGAACGAGGCAGGAACUCGGAAGUCUUUUUCAGCAGCGAUUCACUAGUUUUAACUGAAACUUUGAGGCAGACACAUGGUGACAAGAUAGUGACUGCAACCUUUGUUCAUGCUCCAAAAUCCCACCAGAGCCACUGGAGGAAAACAAGUCUCGGGGAAAGGCCUCCAACAGUGAAAUAAAUUAUGUGAGGAUUCAAACAAGUCCUAACCUGACAUUUUUCAGAGUGAAAUGCAGGACC
rnacentral:lncRNA from 1 species